rnacentral:rRNA from 1 species
GCUUAACACAUGCUAUUCGAGGGGAAACGACAUCGAAAGCUUGCUUUUGAUGGGCGUCGACCGGCGCACGGGUGAGUAACGCGUAUCCAACCUGCCCAUCACUUGGGGAUAACCUUGCGAAAGUAAGACUAAUACCCAAUGAUAUCUCUAGAAGACAUCUGAAAGAGAUUAAAGAUUUAUCGGUGAUGGAUGGGGAUGCGUCUGAUUAGCUUGUUGGCGGGGUAACGGCUCACCAAGGCGACGAUCAGUAGGGGUUCUGAGAGGAAGGUCCCCCACAUUGGAACUGAGACACGGUCCAAACUCCUACGGGAGGCAGCAGUGAGGAAUAUUGGUCAAUGGACGAGAGUCUGAACCAGCCAAGUAGCGUGCAGGAUGACGGCCCUAUGGGUUGUAAACUGCUUUUAUAAGGGAAUAAAGUGAGUCUCGUGAGACUUUUUGCAUGUACCUUAUGAAUAAGGACCGGCUAAUUCCGUGCCAGCAGCCGCGGUAAUACGGAAGGUCCGGGCGUUAUCCGGAUUUAUUGGGUUUAAAGGGAGCGUAGGCCGGAGAUUAAGCGUGUUGUGAAAUGCAGACGCUCAACGUCUGCACUGCAGCGCGAACUGUUUUCCUUGAGUACGCACAAAGUGGGCGGAAUUCGUGGUGUAGCGGUGAAAUGCUUAGAUAUCACGAAGAACUCCGAUUGCGAAGGCAGCUCACUGGAGCGCAACUGACGCUGAAGCUCGAAAGUGCGGGUAUCGAACAGGAUUAGAUACCCUGGUAGUCCGCACGGUAAACGAUGGAUGCCCGCUGUUGGUCUGAAUAGGUCAGCGGCCAAGCGAAAGCAUUAAGCAUCCCACCUGGGGAGUACGCCGGCAACGGUGAAACUCAAAGGAAUUGACG